rnacentral:lncRNA from 1 species
AGAAGGGGUCUCACUAUGUUGUCUGGAGUGCAGUGGCUGGAGUGGAGUGGCUAUUCACAGAGCCUGUUCUGCUGGGACACAGAAUCACUUGCUCCAUCUCAUACAUUGAUGAUGAUUAAUUUGUAUGUGUACCUUCCAAAAAAAGAUGGUUGUGUUUGAACGGAGGCCUUCUGGACAGGAAAAUAAGGUCACUUGGUCUGAACUUAACAUGGCGUAACACAAGGAUCUGUGAGGAUUUUUCUUGCUAUACAUCCUUUCUUUCAUGUGUACAAAUUGAGUGCAGAUCCUUAAACAAGCUACAUGCUGUUGGUCAUUAACUUCAGGAAACUGGCAUGGGUCCGCCUAAGGAGAAACUCGGAGAGAUGGGCCCUCCAGAACAAAUACGUUUAUUUUGCAACAGCAGGGGAUGGCAAUACAGGAUAUGUGUGUCAUGACAGAUCACACGCACAUCCAAGGGGGUCGGGGCAAAGGGGAAGCUUUUAAAGACAAAGAGAAGUCCAUAUGGAGAGUGCGUGCUUUGGAUUCAAGACUGGGAAUGAGGGGACCAGAAACCUAUUCUGUGG